UAUUUAAUGGCCGCGGUAUUUUGACUGUGCAAAGGUAGCAAAAUCAUUAGUUUAUUAAUUGUGAACUUGUAUGAAUGGUUUGACGAAAUAUUAACUGUUUCUUAUUUAUAAUUAGAAUUUAAAUUUUGAGUUAAAAUGCUUAAUUUUAUUUUAUUAGACGAGAAGACCCUAUAGAUCUUUAUUUUUUAUAUAUUUUUUAAUUAGUAUUUUAUAAUAUAUUAAUUUUUUUNGUUGGGGUGACAUGGAGAAAAGAUUUAUUAAACUCUUUAUUUUUAUAUACAUUUAUUUUUGAUUAUUUGAUUUUAUUUUAAUAAUUUAAGAUUAGAUACCUUAGGGAUAACAGCGUUANUUUUUUUGANAGUUCUUAUUGACAAGGAANAUUGCGACCUCGAUGUUGGAUUAANAUUAUUAAAUGGUGCAGCAGCUUUUUUAAUAGGUCUGUUCGACCUUUAAAUUCUUACAUGAUCUGAGUUC
rnacentral:rRNA from 1 species